UACGUAGGGGGCAAGCGUUGUCCGGAAUCAUUGGGCGUAAAGAGCGUGUAGGCGGCCAGAAAAGUCCGCUGUGAAAACUCGAGGCUCAACUUCGAGCUGUCGGUGGAAACUUUCUGGCUAGAGUCCGGAAGAGGAGAAUAGAAUUCCUGGUGUAGCGGUGAAAUGCGCAGAUAUCAGGAAGAACACCCGUGGCGAAGGCGGUUCUCUGGGACGGUACUGACGCUGAGACGCGAAAGCGUGGGGAGCGAACAGG
rnacentral:rRNA from 1 species